rnacentral:rRNA from 1 species
UACGUAGGGUGCAAGCGUUGUCCGGAAUCAUUGGGCGUAAAGCGCGCGUAGGCGGCCCUGUAAGUCCGUUGUGAAAGUCAAAGGCUCAACCUUUGAAAGCCGAUGGAUACUGCAGGGCUAGAGUCCGGAAGAGGCGAGUGGAAUUCCUGGUGUAGCGGUGGAAUGCGCAGAUAUCAGGAGGAACACCAAUAGCGAAGGCAGCUCGCUGGGACGGUACUGACGCUGAGACGCGAAAGCGUGGGGAGCGAACAGG